ensembl:lncRNA
GAGGGAUUCUGCAGACCGUAGGGAGUCUGGACUAUGAAUGACAGCCACGCAGUAUGAAUAUAUGUGUGUGUACAUUACUCUUUGUGUCCGUGUGUGUGUGCUUGAGUGCGUCCGUGAGUCUGUGUGUCACAUUAAGGCAUCUGAUAAGAGUAGAAGAAAAACAUUUCCUUACACUGACGGUAUCAGAUUGCAAGCUGAUAAUGGUUCAGAAUGAAAACAAGUGAUGUUGUUUUUCAAGGUGAUAGAGCAAAGAAAAAGGCUAAGUUCAGACGCCGUGGAAGCUGUCAGAAAGUAACAAUGGUCACCAUCUCUGAACCGGACCCUGGACUCUCUGAGGAACCUGAGGACACGUCUUUGGACCGGGAGGAGACCAGGAAGAGAAGAUUUGGUAGGUGCCCCUUUAUAGAGAAUUCAAAAGAAAUAAUCCAGUCCAAAACAAUGAUCCAAAAAAGUAUGUUUUCCUCCAUAUACAUUUAAGAUUUAUGUUAAGAAAACUUUUUUUGCCAAAGUGACCGUGUGUGUGUGUGUGUGUGUGUGUGUGUGUGUGUGUGUGUGUGUGUGUGUGUGUGUGUGUGUGUGUGUGUGUGUGUGUGUGUGUGUGUGUGUGUCCUACUCCUGAACAGCUCUAUGUUUGCCCAUCACUCUCAUUGUGAGCCUCGGACUGCUGAUUAUCCUCACGAUCUCCCUGCGCCUCAGUUCAGUGAUGCCCACGGAGGAGGAGGAGGAGGCCCCCAGCAUCACAGAGUUCCACUCCUCUACCCACGUGUUGCCCGUGGGAGGUACGGCGUGAACACGGUCUGCUGCAUGGCGAGCAACAGCGCUGGCACGGCCAAUCACACCGCUGAACUGCUUGUCUUUGGUAAGUCCUGGAUCCAAGGAGAGAUGUUUGUUGUUGAUGUAUUCAUAACAUUACUGUUGAUAUAUUCAUAGUGUUUUUGUUGAUAUAUUCAUAGCAUUGUUGUUGACAUAUAUUGUCUGUACAUUGUGGCAACCCGCUCCUUGAGUGAGCCGAGUUCCAUGUACAAAUCACGCUUGGCAGCAAGGGUUUAAGUCGAUCACGGCAUUUAUUGCGUACAUCUGUGACAGGCAAAGUAAACGCGGUAUCUAGGGCCUCCGUGGGCCUCUAGUCUCUCGCGGACCAGAGCGCUACCUUCUUCCUUGCUCCCGUUUGCCUUUUAUAGUCUUUCCCUGGCUGUCCAGGCAGGUGUCUCCCAUCCCGCUGAUUGGGGUUCGGUUGGUGCUCUCCGUCGCCCACUGGUGGGUGACGGUGGUAUCGGCCAUCCCGGACCAACCCUCGGGCUGGUCCGGGCCGAGGUUUACGGGGCGGGAUGCCACAACAUAUAUAUGGUAGGGGUGUAACGGUACACUGAAUUCAUGAUUUGGUUCAUACCUCGGUUCAUGGUUCGGCACGAGUUCGGUACAAUGAAGGGAAAAGAAAAAACAAAAAUGCAGAAGGCAAUUCUUUUUUAUUGUGCAUGUCUCAGGUUGUACCACGUAGUGUCAUACAGUCUCUCCCCUGAGCUAGCUGCAACAGCCUGAACUGUGUAAUCUAAGGCUACGUUUACACGAUGACGGUCUGAACAAAAGUGGUGUUGCGUAUUCACUUUUUAUUCCGCGUUUAGACGAGUGAUUUCGGGAGGAAAUCUGCGUGCAUACGGUGACGCAAAAGUGUGUGGAAUUCGAUUGGGUAUGCAUGCCAG